ensembl:lncRNA
AUGGUCAGCGCCGCGCGCGGCCCAGGGUCCCGCAGCCCUGCCCUUUGUUACGCGGUGGACCCCGCCGGCAGGCCCAGCCCCCGGCCCCCGGGGCUUUCAGUCCCAGCGUGGGGUGCAGCGGCCCCCCAGGGCCGACACGUACUAGGGCCCACGGGCAGGGCGCAGCAACUCCACGCCCUGCAGCCCCGCACCGGGACGCCCGGGCCCGGUGCCCAUCAGCCCCUCGCGCCUAAAGCCGCGCGCGGCCCCCCGCCCGGACCGGAUCAGGCUCUGCCACGGACGGAGUAUCAACUACCAGGGAGGAAAAAAAAUCUGAAGUUGGAAGGAGGACACUCAGAGGAGAGACUGCUGCGUGCCUACCUAGCUGCACAGACUCGGAUAAAAGCGUGUCCACGUCUACAGCUCACAACUGUGCAAAUCUGGAGCCUGCGGAUGCGCGGGGAUGGUCGGACUUAACAGUGUGCAGACACAUGGGCGCAUGCACGCGCGCGCGCGUACACACUCACACCCCAAAUUACCUCCGGGAUGGAGAAAGCCGCUGCGGAUUGGCCAGGAGAGCCGUCACUCACACCCAGGGGGCAGGGAGAUUUUGCAAGGCUGUUUCCUUUUUUUCCCCCCUCCCUACCGUUUCAUUUAUUGGUAAAACAACAGCAAAGCUCUGAAAGUUAGCCAUCUGCGCCGAGAGUUUGCUUUCUUUAACUACGGGGGCGUCAGACAAUACCCAUUUAAAUAUAUUUUAUACUUCCACAAUGGAUGAAAGGGAAAAUUAGCAAUCGGGGUGGGGGCGGAGAGGAAGCUAGCGUGAAAAGGAGGGGUCAUGGGUGGGGGGGCGGGUAGUGGACGCGGGGUGAAGUUGUCCUCAACACCCGAAAGGGACUUUGACCUUUCACUGAUCUCGAAAUUUAAAAAUGUUCUUCACAGGUCAGAGUAUCACCAUCGCCGGUCCUAAUUUAUAAAUUCAUUAUUUUAAUUUUAUUAUUUAAGCAUGCGCCAGUCAUAGUGUUUCCUUAAGAAAGAACUGACCUAUUUUUGGCUGGAGAUAAACGAUCAUGUUAACAGAUGUUAAUCUUGUAAUCUGUUUUCCUGUAAGCACUUUACAUACCCGGGUUUCAGACCUUAAAAAUAACAUCUUUUCCAAAAAGACCUGACGUCACAAUUCACUCCCUGAAAAAGCACUCCCCCUCUCCAGUUUUUUUUUUUUCUCAGCAAUGAUUUCAGAGACAUUAAAUCUUUUUCACUUUAUAAAUGCUGAUUUGUUCUGCCUCAACUCCCACGAGCUUUUAUUUGCAUUUCAAAUUCCACAGGUUACACCAGUCGCCUUUUCAAAAAAUGUAAACCAACAAUGCAGCAGCAAAUGGCUUUUUGUGCAUCUGGAUUAAAUAAGGCACAGGAUGAAUAUAUUUUUAAAAGAGGGCUGAGCAAGUUGAUCUCUGCACACCCGGAGACCAAUUACUUCUUUAUCAAUAAGCCCAGUGGAAUGAGUAGGAUACAGACACACAACCCANNNNNNNNNNNNNNNNGUCAGAUCCGGGUCUGCAGCGGGGAGCUUGUUAACGCCGAUAAUAACCGGGACUGAUGAACAGACCCACAUUUUUCGGGUAAAAGGCUCAGUCUCCCUGGUCCCUGAUAGCAGGGGUCCACCGGCCUCCCAGCCCACCACCGCUGAUUGUCACCGCACACCAACCCUCCUCCACGAACCACUGUUUUAAAUACCCAGCUCGGCUGGCUUUUACCAAACUUAUUCAUACAAACUUAUUCAUUCAAACUUAUUCUUUAAAACUUAACGAGGCGGUUUAAUCUAAAUAAUGAUCGUAACUCUUCAGUAGGUUAGCUCUCCCUGGAAAUGGCAGACCAGGAGCUUUUCCGACCCGACCCUCCCCAAACACACACACCCCCACGUAUUCUUUCCUAGUGUAUGCCCGGGUGUAAAUCGCGAUCAGUACCAUCCCCACCCCUGCUCCCACCCUUGGCAGGCUGGGUGCAUCUCCGAGGAGUCCCCGCUUGCCAGACCCCCUCCCCACCGCUCCUCAGAGUCAUUGCAAGAACCCUCGCCCCCACCCCCACCCCCACCCCUGCCCCAACUUCCCUUCAGAGCUCUCACUUCUUUUAACAUUAGGGUCACUUCUGCGCUCCCAGCUGACGGGCAGGGAGCCAGGGGAGGGGGAGGCAAAGCGACGCCCCUCCGGCAAACCUGUCUCCGAGGCAGCCGCGCUCGGUGCCCACAGGCAACGACCCCAUCCACCGAACCCUUAAUAACUGAAGCGGCUCCUGCGGCCCCGCAACCCCAUCACCCACCUUCAUUAGCCGGAGCGUUUUACUUUAAAGUAAGGCAAUUUGCUCUUUGUCUCCUAAUGGAUGGAGAGCGCAUCCGAGCUCCCCUCCUCCCGCGUCGCCUUUGACGAAGUGUACAAAGCCAGCGCCUCCUCCGCGCUCCCCUCCGGCCCCCACCCCGCCCCUCCACUGCGGUAAAAGCCACCUCUCCGGCGCUCGCCCGGCCGCCUGAAGUUGCAUCUUCCCUCUCCCGGAAUUGCGGAGCGGAGCAACUACCCACCGAGGGAGCGAGCAGCCCUCCCCGCGCCCCGGAGCCCCUCCCCGGCGCCCCC